rnacentral:sRNA from 1 species
UCUUAUUGUUGAGGUUGGCAUUUUAUCAUUGAGGCCUUCCUUAAAUGAUUACCUCUGACCGAGACAGAGGUUUCUAGUUCUGCACAUAAUUAAACAAACCAUAUACCGCAGGGCCGGCUCAGAAUAAUAAAGGACCUAGAGCUGGAAAAAAAAAUUAGUUCUCAUUUUUGUGUUUUGUUAUAUAUCAAAAUUUUUGGACCCUAACUAUAAUAGAUUUACUUUUAAAAAAAAAGAAAUUUUGGGUAGACCCUGUGCCUCAGCUCCUCCAGCACAUGUGUAAAGCCGGCCUGCAUAUACGAUUAGUACUUGGAGUCAAAGUAACCUCAUGGAAAGACAAAACUAAGCUUAAAGACACAGACUUUACACAAGUUACAGAUUCA